ACAGUUUUUACCCAGGGACGAGUGCACUAAGGUCUUCAGUCUUUUCCUCAUCGUUUGUUCUGUGUUUCCACCCACAUCCAGGAAAAGACAGAGAUUCUCCUUAGCCCUCCUUUUCUUGCUGAUGGAUUUACAGAAGCAUUUUUAUCCUCUUUGCAAUUUUCUAAGAAGAAAUUCUCUACAGUGAGGCUGUUGAGGCACUGGGAACAAGUUGCCCAGAAGAGCUGUGGAUGCCUAAGGAAGGGUUUGCAUCUGCCCCUGCUCUCUCCACUCCCUUCUUAGUCAUGACAUGGGGGGCCUGAAGCAACUCCAGACUGAGGACAAGGUGAACAUGGCUCAGGCUCACACAGAGAUCUGACUGCCUACAGCCUUACCAAGCAGUUUUCUCUGGACACUUCCAAUGUUCUCUUACCCACAAAGUCUUUGUCUCCCAUCCAGAAGAGCUCUAAUUCCUCCAAGCUCAGGAAGAAGCUGCUGCCUGUCUGAAGAGUGUCACAAGAAUAGGAUUUAUGUGUUCGGCUUCAUAGUUAGAGAUGGAUUUACAUUCUGAUAUUUAGAUGUCAUUUUGAAUAAAGGUUUUGAUUGUAUCUUUCAAUUUUGAUAAAAUAUUUUUAAUUCUAUAUAUUUUAUUUUGAUGAUUAGGAAAAAAAUAUUAAUUGAAAUAAGCCAAAACGAGAAUGUGACACCAGGACAUGCUAGCCUAGAGAUUAUGGCAGUGCAGCUCACUUCAUGUGCCAGUGUCUCACCACAUCCUCUCCUCACUGUGCAUCUCCUCUUCCUCUUUUGCCAUGUUUCCUUUCUGUCAUUUGUGCUACUGUUUUUAAAUUGACAUUACAAUAGGGCUACAUAUUGACAUGUUUGGGGGACAAUGGAACCAAAAGAUCCUGUAUGGUCAAAAGUUUUCUACCUGGAUGUGUUCUGUGCUCAACAAAAACCUGAGCAAAGAAACCAAGAGAAGUGUGCCCAAAUGCCAAAGCUUUGCUCCUUUGCAAUCUCACACAGAUCUGGCUCACAGGUGACUUCAGGCACAAUUUCAUAGGUAAGAAGAGGAUGUGUAUUUCACUGGGAAAAGAUGCCCUACUUUGGAAAAGUCAUGUGCAUGUGGAUUUACCCAGGACAGCAGUCCAACAGUGUUUUUUGCAACUUGCUUGCCAAGGGAUGAGUGGGCUGUGAGGCCAAUAACAAGUGACAAGGGUUCCUCAAAUCUAUUGCCACUGCAGCCUGGGUGCCCUUCUGCCCAGGGUUAUGGGAUCAUUUGUUCCCAUGGACCGGUG